rnacentral:rRNA from 1 species
GACGAACGCUGGCGGCGUGCUUAACACAUGCAAGUCGAACGGUAAGGCCCUUCGGGGUACACGAGUGGCGAACGGGUGAGUAACACGUGGGUGAUCUGCCCUGCACUUCGGGAUAAGCCUGGGAAACUGGGUCUAAUACCGGAUAGGACUCCGGACUGCAUGGUCUGGGGUGGAAAGCUUUUGCGGUGUGGGAUGGGCCCGCGGCCUAUCAGCUUGUUGGUGGGGUGAUGGCCUACCAAGGCGACGACGGGUAGCCGGCCUGAGAGGGUGACCGGCACACACUGGGACUGAGGUACGGCCCAGACUCCUACGGGAGGCAGCAGUGGGGAAUAUUGCACAAUGGGCGCAAGCCUGAUGCAGCGACGCCGCGUGAGGGAUGACGGCCUUCGGGUUGUAAACCUCUUUCAGCAUCGACGAAGCGAAAGUGACGGUAGGUGCAGAAGAAGGACCGGCCAACUACGUGCCAGCCGCCGCGGUAA